rfam:Triticum aestivum genome assembly, contig: Triticum_aestivum_CS42_TGACv1_scaffold_577260_7BL
CACAUACUCCAUCCAUUCGGAAUUACUUGUCUCGAAAAGGGAUGUAUCUAGAACUAAAAUACGUCUAGAUACAUCCAUUUUCGCGACAAGUAAUUCCGAACGGAGGAAGUAGAUG